UUGAGCAUCAGGCAGAAAAGGGAAUCAGGUGAGAAUCCUGAGCGAUCCGGUCACUGUGACAGAGGAGCGGCCUCUCAUUAUCCCAUUGUACGAAGCUGUAUUUAUUAUUCCGCUGUGUUUUAAAGGGAAGGAACAGCUUCAGCGUAUGAGAAGGGGAGAGGGAGCGAUGAUCCUGGAGUCAGGAAACCUGCUUUGUAUG
rnacentral:ncRNA from 1 species